rnacentral:lncRNA from 1 species
CGUCAUGGCGCCCGAGGAGAACGCGGGAUCGAACUCUUGCUGCAGGGUUUCGAUCGCCGCUUCCUGGCGGCGCGCACACUGCGCUCCUUCCCUGAGCUUAGAAGCAAAGUUAAGAGACUCAUCAGAUUCUGAGCUGCUGCGGGAUAUUUUGCAACUGUGAAGCAUCCUGUGUGUGUGUGAAGCACCCGCCGUCAGUCAAGUAUGCCCGGUGCUUUCUCUCAGAACUCAUCACACGAGGCUGUCCACACGGAGCCUUUGGACGAGCUGUACGAGGGGCUGGCAGAGACUCUGAUGGUCAAGGAGUCCACCCAGGGCCACCGGAGCUAUUUGCCCCUCGGGAGGCUCGGUCACAAUCUCCGAGAGCACAGCCAUCAUCUCUCACGGUACCACAGGCCUGGUCACAUGGGACGCCACCCUCUGCCUUGCAGAAUGGGCCAUCGAGAACCCAGCAGCCUUCACUAACAGCUGUCCUAGAACUUGGCAGUGGUGCCGGCCUCACAGGCCUUGCCAUCUGCAAGAUGUGCCGCCCCCGGGCAUACAUCUUCAGCGACCCUCACAGCCGGGUCCUCGAGCAGCUCCAAGGGAAUGUCUUUCUCAAUGGCCUCUCAUUAGAGGCAGACAUCACUGCCAACUUAGACAGCCCCAGGGUGACAGUGGCCCAGCUGGACUGGGACGUAGCGACGGUCCAUCAGCUCUCUGCCUUCCAGCCAGAUGUUGUCAUUGCGACGUGCUGUAUUGCCCAGAAGCCAUCGUGUCGCUGGUCGGGGUCCUGCGGAGGCUGGCUGCCUGCCAGGAGCACAAGCGGGCUCCUGAGGUCUACGUGGCCUUUACCGUCCGCAACCCAGAGACGUGCCAGCUGUUCACCACCGAGCUAGUGGGCCGGGAUCAGAUGGGAAGCAGAAGCUCAUCAUGACCAGAAACUGUUUCCCUACGGAGAGCACUUGGAGAUGGCAAUGCUGAACCUCACAC